GAUGAACGCUGGCGGCGUGCCUAAUACAUGCAAGUCGAGCGAACAGAUGAGGAGCUUGCUCCUCUGACGUUAGCGGCGGACGGGUGAGUAACACGUGGAUAACCUACCUAUAAGACUGGGAUAACUUCGGGAAACCGGAGCUAAUACCGGAUAAUAUAUUGAACCGCAUGGUUCAAUAGUGAAAGACGGUUUUGCUGUCACUUAUAGAUGGAUCCGCGCCGCAUUAGCUAGUUGGUAAGGUAACGGCUUACCAAGGCGACGAUGCGUAGCCGACCUGAGAGGGUGGUCGGCCACCCGGGAAGUGAGACACGGUCCAGACUCCUACGGGAGGCAGCAGUCGGGAAUCCUCCGCAAUAGGCGAAAGCCUGACGGAACAACGGCGCGUGAGUGAUGAAGGUCUUCGGAUCGUAAAACUCUGUUAUUAGGGAAGAACAAAUGUGUAAGUAACUAUGCACGUCUUGACGGUACCUAAUCAGAAAGCCACGGCUAACUACGUG
rnacentral:rRNA from 1 species